AGUGGCGGACGGGUGAGUAACGCGUGGGUAACCUGCCCUGUACAGGGGGAUAACAGUCAGAAAUGACUGCUAAUACCGCAUAAGACCACAGCACCGCAUGGUGCAGGGGUAAAAACUCCGGUGGUACAGGAUGGACCCGCGUCUGAUUAGCUGGUUGGUGAGGUAACGGCUCACCAAGGCGACGAUCAGUAGCCGGCUUGAGAGAGUGAACGGCCACAUUGGGACUGAGACACGGCCCAGACUCCUACGGGAGGCAGCAGUGGGGGAUAUUGCACAAUGGGGGAAACCCUGAUGCAGCGACGCCGCGUGGAGGAAGAAGGUUUUCGGAUUGUAAACUCCUGUCGUUAGGGACGAUAAUGACGGUACCUAACAAGAAAGCACCGGCUAACUACGUGCCAGCAGCCGCGGUAAAACGUAGGGUGCAAGCGUUGUCCGGAAUUACUGGGUGUAAAGGGAGCGCAGGCGGACCGGCAAGUUGGAAGUGAAAACUAUGGGCUCAACCCAUAAAUUGCUUUCAAAACUGCUGGCCUUGAGUAGUGCAGAGGUAGGUGGAAUUCCCGGUGUAGCGGUGGAAUGCGUAGAUAUCGGGAGGAACACCAGUGGCGAAGGCGAACUACUGGGCACCAACUGACGCU
rnacentral:rRNA from 1 species